UGCUACUUUGCUGACGAGCGGCGGACGGGUGAGUAAUGCCUGGGAAUAUGCCUUGAUGUGGGGGAUAACUAUUGGAAACGAUAGCUAAUACCGCAUAAUGUCUUCGGACCAAAGAGGGGGAUCUUCGGACCUCUCGCGUCAAGAUUAGCCCAGGUGAGAUUAGCUAGUUGGUGAGGUAAGAGCUCACCAAGGCGACGAUCUCUAGCUGGUCUGAGAGGAUGAUCAGCCACACUGGAACUGAGACACGGUCCAGACUCCUACGGGAGGCAGCAGUGGGGAAUAUUGCACAAUGGGCGAAAGCCUGAUGCAGCCAUGCCGCGUGUAUGAAGAAGGCCUUCGGGUUGUAAAGUACUUUCAGUCGUGAGGAAGGGUGUGUAGUUAAUAGCUGCAUAUCUUGACGUUAGCGACAGAAGAAGCACCGGCUAACUCCGUGCCAGCAGCCGCGGUAAUACGGAGGGUGCGAGCGUUAAUCGGAAUUACUGGGCGUAAAGCGCAUGCAGGCGGUCUGUUAAGCAAGAUGUGAAAGCCCGGGGCUCAACCUCGGAACAGCAUUUUGAACUGGCAGACUAGAGUCUUGUAGAGGGGGGUAGAAUUUCAGGUGUAGCGGUGAAAUGCGUAGAGAUCUGAAGGAAUACCGGUGGCGAAGGCGGCCCCCUGGACAAAGAC
rnacentral:rRNA from 1 species